rnacentral:rRNA from 1 species
UACGUAGGGGGCAAGCGUUGUCCGGAUUCAUUGGGCGUAAAGAGCUCGUAGGCGGCUUGGCAAGUCGGGCGUGAAAUCCCCGAGCUUAACUCGGGAUGGUCGUUCGAUACUGCUAUGGCUUGAGUCUGGUAGGGGAGCAUGGAAUUCCUGGUGUAGCGGUGAAAUGCGCAGAUAUCAGGAGGAACACCGGUGGCGAAGGCGGUGCUCUGGGCCAGUACUGACGCUGAGGAGCGAAAGCGUGGGGAGCGAACAGG